AUUGAACGCUGGCGGCAGGCUUAACACAUGUAAGUCGAGCGGGGUGAUGGUGCUUGCACUAUCACUUAGCGGCGGACGGGUGAGUAAUGCUUAGGAAUCUGCCUAUUAGUGGGGGACAACAUCUCGAAAGGGAUGCUAAUACCGCAUACGUCCUACGGGAGAAAGCAGGGGAUCACUUGUGACCUUGCGCUAAUAGAUGAGCCUAAGUCGGAUUAGCUAGUUGGUGGGGUAAAGGCCUACCAAGGCGACGAUCUGUAGCGGGUCUGAGAGGAUGAUCCGCCACACUGGGAGUGAGACACGGCCCAGACUCCUACGGGAGGCAGCAGUGGGGAAUAUUGGACAAUGGGGGGAACCCUGAUCCAGCCAUGCCGCGUGUGUGAAGAAGGCCUUAUGGUUGUAAAGCACUUUAAGCGAGGAGGAGGCUCUUUUGGUUAAUACCCAAGAUGAGUGGACGUUACUCGCAGAAUAAGCACCGGCUAACUCUGUGCCAGCAGCCGCAGUAA
rnacentral:rRNA from 1 species